GAUGAACGCUAGCUACAGGCUUAACACAUGCAAGUCGCGGGGCAGCAUGGGGGUUGCUUGCACUCCCCGAUGGCGACCGGCGCACGGGUGAGUAACGCGUAUCCAACCUGCCCUUCACCACGGGAUAACCCGGCGAAAGUCGGACUAAUACCGUAUGUUGUCCAUUGACGGCAUCCGAUUUGGACGAAAGGUGUGGCGGUGAAGGAUGGGGAUGCGUCCGAUUAGCUGGACGGCGGGGUGACGGCCCACCGAGGCGACGAUCGGUAGGGGUUAUGAGAGGAAGGUCCCCCACACUGGAACUGAGACACGGUCCAGACUCCUACGGGAGGCAGCAGUGAGGAAUAUUGGUCAAUGGGCGUAAGCCUGAACCAGCCAAGUAGCGUGCAGGAUGACGGCCCUAUGGGUUGUAAACUGCUUUUAUGCGGGGAUAAAGUGGCCCACGUGUGGGUUUUUGCAGGUACCGCAUGAAUAAGGACCGGCUAAUUCCGUG
rnacentral:rRNA from 1 species